rnacentral:rRNA from 1 species
UACAGAGGUCCCAAGCGUUGUUCGGAUUCACUGGGCGUAAAGGGUGCGUAGACGGUCGGGUAAGUCUGAUGUGAAAUCUCACAGCUUAACUGUGAAACUGCAUUGGAUACUAUUCGGCUUGAGAGUUGGAGGGGGGACUGGAAUUCUUGGUGUAGCAGUGAAAUGCGUAGAUAUCAAGAGGAACACCAGUGGCGAAGGCGAGUCCCUGGACAACUUCUGACGCUGAGGCACGAAAGCUAGGGGAGCAAACAGG